rnacentral:rRNA from 1 species
AACGAACGCUGGCGGCGCGCCUAACACAUGCAAGUCGAACGGAGAUAUUUGGAAGCUUGCUUUUGGAUAUCUUAGUGGCGGACGGGCGAGUAACGCGUGAGCAACCUGGCCUUCAGAGUGGAACAACGUCUGGAAACGGGCGCUAAUACCGCAUAAUACAAGAGAGUCGCAUGGCUUUUUUGUCAAAGGAGAAAUCCGCUGAAGGAUGGGCUCGCGUCCGAUUAGCUAGAUGGGGUGGUAACGGCACACCAUGGCGACGAUCGGUAGCCGAACUGAGAGGUUGAUCGGCCGCAUUGGGACUGAGACACGGCCCAG